rnacentral:rRNA from 1 species
UGGGGAAUAUUGCGCAAUGGGGGGAACCCUGACGCAGCCAUGCGCGUGAAUGAAGAAGGCCUUAGGGUUGUAAAGUUCUUUCGGUAUUGAGGAAGGUUGAUGUGUUAAUAGCACAUCAAAUUGACGUUAAAUACAGAAGAAGCACCGGCUAACUCCGUGCCAGCAGCCGCGGUAAUACGGAGGGUGCGAGCGUUAAUCGGAAUAACUGGGCGUAAAGGGCCAGCAGGCGGUUAUUUAAGUGAGGUGUGAAAGCCCCGGGCUUAACCUGGGAAUUGCAUUUCAGACUGGGUAACUAGAGUACUUUAGGGAGGGGUAGAAUUCCACGUGUAGCGGUGAAAUGCGUAGAGAUGUGGAGGAAUACCGAAGGCGAAGGCAGCCCCUUGGGAAUGUACUGACGCUCAUGUGCGAAAGCGGGGGAGCAAACAGGAUUAGAUACCCUGGUAGUCCACGCUGUNNCGCUGUCGAUUUGGGGGUUGNGUUUAACUCUGGCGCCCGUAGCUAACGUGAUAAAUCGACCGCCUGGGGAGUACGGCCGCAAGUUA